GUGAGGAAUAUUGCGCAAUGGAGGCAACUCUGACGCAGCCAUGCCGCGUGCAGGAAGAAGGCGCUACGCGUUGUAAACUGCUUUUAACCGGGAAGAAACCCCAGGACGUGUCCUGGGUUGACGGUACCGGAGGAAUAAGCACCGGCUAACUUCGUGCCAGCAGCCGCGGUAAUACGAAGGGUGCAAGCGUUAUCCGGAUUCAUUGGGUUUAAAGGGUGCGUAGGCGGAGCGUUAAGUCAGUGGUGAAAUCCUGCAGCUUAACUGUAGACUUGCCAUUGAUACUGGCGCUCUUGAGUGCACUUGAAGUGGGCGGAAUGUGCCGUGUAGCGGUGAAAUGCUUAGAUAUGGCACAGAACACCAAUUGCGAAGGCAGCUCACUAAGGCGAUACUGACGCUGAGGCACGAAAGCGUGGGGAUCGAACAGGAUUAGAAACCCGGGUAGUCC
rnacentral:rRNA from 1 species